UAUGCCUCAGGUGUGGCCAUAAAAAGCCAAAAAAAAAAAAAAAAAAAAAUUCUCUCAGCAAUGUUGGUAGCAAGGGGUCAGCAAAUUAUAGCCUAGGAGCCAAAUGUGGCUCAUGGCCUAUUUCUGUAAGGCUAGUGAACCGUGAAUUAUUUUGUUGUUUUACUACAUUAGCUAGUACUUCAGUAUGAAGUUGAGAAGGAGUGGUGAGAGGGGACAUCCUUGCCUUGUUCCUGAUCACAGUGGAAAAGCUUCGAGUUUCUCUCCAUUAUGUUGCCAGCUUUGGGUUUUUUGUAGAUAUUCCUUCAGACUUGGCCACCUCCAAGGAAUUCAGGUUUUCCUUCUCUGGUGCUGGUUCCACGGUGGUUUCUGCUCGCGAGUCUGUUCUGAUAAGUGGUGACUUAGUCACCUGUCUCUCCAAUCUUAGGGGCAGCGCUUUGCCCUGUGUCCUCACCUCUUUCACAGAGCCAAGAAGAGCUGUUAAUUUUUUCAGUCUGUUCUGCAUUUUCCUAGUUAGGACAGAGGGGCAACUUCUAAGCCCCUUACAGGUGGGACUGGAAGUCUCCUAGUCUUUUUUUUGGGGAGGCGUUUCUGAAGAAUCGGUAAUAAUUCUUAGUUUUCUGUCCUUAUCUGCUCCCCUGUCCCCACUAAGAAGCCCUCCAGUUUUAAUAUACUUUAAUAUACUUUUCUGUCUCUCCUAUGGUACUGCAAACUCCUUUGGGGCAAGAGAUGUCUUUCCACUCUUAUUAAUAGGCUUUCACACACUGUUGAGUAUAGAAUUUCCACUGAGUAAAUGCUAAAUAAUAGCAAAAGCUGAGGAAAAUAUCUGUAUUUUUCUUUUUCCUCCCAGCUUCAGAUAGUUCUUUCAACAUAUGAAUUGUCUUAGAAAAGCUUAUAUUUUCAAGAAUUAAGUCUAGUAGCGACAGCCGGACUCUACAUUCAGCCAGAUCUGGUUGAAAUGAUCACUAUUGUGAUUUGCUAUUUUAGGCAUUUAGAGUAUUACCAGACAAAUUAUUUUUCCAAAGAGGUCUUAUACAGUUAUUUCUUUGAAAGGAAGAUCUUUUCUGAUUUUUUUUAAUGGAGCAUGAAAACAUUUCUCAUAUAAUAUGUGACAUCCUAGACCUAAAACUCUUAAUACUAAUAAAGCAGCUGUGGGAACCUCGAUGCCACAUCCAUCCUCUCUGGUAGAGUUAUGAAUGUGUGGGGAUGAUUUGCCUAAGUCUAAAGAAAUUUAAAAUUUAAAGAGAAGAACACACACGAGACAUUUAAUUAUUUUUAAAAAAUAAUUGCUGUUUCUUCGACCUACAGUGAAAUCAGAGUGAUGAGAGAGGAGCACAGAGGGAAGAGCGGAACUCCUCAACGCCAGUGUUCGGACUUCUGACCAGCCUCAUCCGAAACCACACCCUUUCAUACAUAUACAAACACCCUGAGGUACUGCGCCUCCAGCUAGGAGGACAGAGGGCAGCUUAAGUUUGUUUGACACAACGAGAAGGGGCUGAGCCUCUUCCCAGGAGAGCAAGGUCCGUUCAUAGCAGUUACUGGUCACCUGUCAUUUCUGGAUGGCUUUUGCUUAUAGUUGCAGAGACAGUAUUUCUUUCAGCAGAAGAAAAUGGAUAGCUUGCUGAUCCAAUACUUCUGUCUCCUAAGAAACCUGGGCAGGUGAUAAAGGUGCCCUGAGGUGCGACUGCUGCUGGCUGUGCCCAAGUGAGAGCUACAUUUGCUCUGAAAGACAGCAGCAGACGUGCUCGAGUCCAGCUGUUGCCUUAAUGGUAUUCACUGCUCCACAACAAAAGGGGGUCGUCUGUCUACCCCAGGGAUGCUGAGGGAUGGUGACACGAGAAGUGUCUUCCUAAAAGUGUAUGGUGGUGUCCCAUUAGACUGUGGUCUGACCAUGAGCACCCGGCCACACUGAAUGAUGGCAGGCACAUAAAUAUCCAGAAGCACAGGUAUGGUGUUGCCUUCUUCCACUCUGCCACCCGUGCUCUGGACUGUGUGCCCCAGGUACUCUUGACAGUAGCUUUUCCAAUCACAGAUAUGGUGCAACAGAUGUGCUCUGGCCAGGAGGGCACUAGGUGUCUGAAGGAAGGCAGGAAGAGAAGUAUAGUCUGGCACACAUUUCUUCUCAGUGGUGCAGGCUGCUCCAAUAGCAACAGGCUUUCUCUCACGAGUUGGGACCCAAGUGUUCAGAUCAGUUGCAGGAAGAGAAGAUGCCAAACGCAGUUACGGCCUUGCUCUUCCUGUUGCAAAACACAGGCUCUGUUCAGGUGGGACCCAGGAGCUCUGACUGUAGGUAGGAAUGUAAAGGCCUCCAAGCACAGGUGAGGUGCUUGACCCUUUGACGGCUAGAGACUGGAGGCAGAAAAAGAAGGAUCUCCAGCACAGGUACGGUUCUGUCUCCUGAACUGCAACAGAUGUGCCCUGGCUGGACGGAUCCCAGGUGAGCUGAGCACAAGACGGGGCAGAAGUGUCUUCUGGCACAUGUCCCUUCUCAGGGAUGCCGUCUCCCCCAGUAGUAGGUGUGUGGCUGGGCUGGCUCGAGGUGCUCUCAUAGGUGCAAAGGAAAGGGUUUCCCAGGACAGAUUUGCUCUCAGUAGUGCUCGCCUCUCCAGUUGUAACAUGACCCUGGUGCUCAGGUCUAAGCCUCCCCCCAUCCCCUGAACCCCUGAAAUGAGCUGUGGGGCUGGCCUCCCACUUGGCCUUGCUGCAAGCUGAGUGUUUCAGAUGUGGAGCUGGGGACCUGGGACAGACACAAUAACCCCAAAGCUGCCACUAUCCACAGGUGCUGCAAAUCCCAUAAAUGCAAAUAGGUCUGGAGUGUUAUUGGCAAACGGCUGGCAGCAGCCCUCAGUGCCGUGCCUGCUGGUGACAGCGCCAGAGCAAGAAAGGGGGGAAUAGGGAAAACAACUGAAGUGCUACCAAUGGCUGGCUGGGUGCUGACAGGGGUGCCAAAGCUGGAACACAGGGAUGUCAGACUCCCCAAAGCUGACUGAGUUGUGUUGCCUGGAGGUCCCAGGGGUGCAACAGAAGUUAAGUAUGGAGGAUUUGCUGGGGCUGCCAGGUUUCCCAAAGGGAAAGGGCUAUCAAAGCUGUCGAGAAGAGUCAGGAAGACAACAGACUGCGAAUUGGGCAUCGUAUCCAUAUCAAUUUCAUCAGAGUCAAAGGCAGGCUUGGAUGCCAAGACUGAAGAGGUGCUGGCUAUUGGAGUGAGGUGACUGCAGAAUCAGUGGUAGGUGGGCCAAAAAAGGGAGUGCCUCUCUUUCACUGCCCAGAUGGGCUCCCAGAUUUCAUUAAAGGCUGGCUCCCGCCCCAUCGGAAGGUUGGAAGUUCAGGUAGGGCUGCUGACCAUAAAAGCAGGUGGGCUAGUGGUAACUGGCCUUUGCAGGGACCAUUUGCUCCACUCUGACAGUGACCUGGUAAAAGGCGAAAGAGCUCCCACUGGACUCUGGCAGAGACCUGAUGAUGAAAGCUUGGGAAGGCAGAGUGGUGUCCGCAUCAGCUGUGCUAAAGUCCAAAGCAUCCUACUAGGAGGUCCAGUCUGCAGACAGGCUCUCUGGGAUGGAGGAAGUGAUUGCAGAGGCCAGUGAUGGGCUGGCUGGUGAAGUCAGGGAUCCUGGUGAAAGGGACCUGAGGAGGAGUCUAUAAGAAAAAGGGAGGAGAAUCCACACACGUAGGUGGAGGUGAUUCGGGUCUACAGAAGGUGGGCUUGAAGGAGAGGAGAGAGGUGCCAGGAGGGGUGGUGAGAGAAGCAGAAGAUCCUGCAACUAUGACUGAGGGACCAGAAUGCAGAGGGCCUCUACUUGUUCUUAUUAUUAGGUGGGACCCCAAAGAAGGGUUGGAACCCUAAGUGAGGAACAGUGAGAACCUCAAAGAAGGAGAGUUAGAAACUGUGCAUCUUGUUUCUAACUUGUGACUCGCAUCUGGUGUGGGGGAGCAGUUCAGAGGCAGCCAGGCCAGUCUGUUCAGUGACUGCUAAUGUCGUGGUCUCUAGAAUCUGCAGGGGGAAAGUGGCCAGUGGCCACUGCAGUGUAACUGCAGUCCCCGCAACAGACAGGGAGAAAGGACAGGCAAGCUGGGCGGCACUGCUGUCUGAAGUGGCCGGAGUUUUAUCCUCCGACCUUGUGGUUCCAUUAGAGCUGGGUUCUUCUCCAAGCCCAGAUCUUCGGCAAUGACCAUACAAGGAAGGUAGGAGCUGGGGGGCUGCUCCCUUCAAUCCCAUGACAGUGUCAGUAGCAGCAGCAGUGGCAGCCAUGGUGGCAUGGGAAUUUUCUGUUUACAGAGCCCACGGCUGACAGAUGUGGGUGGAGAAUUUUUCCUUGACAAAGGAUCUGAAAGCCUUCCUCUCUGAGUUUACUUUUUUUGACUUCGCUAAGGCCGAGGUGCUGAGUCAGUGGUUUUCAUCAAGCCUUUCUUUCUCAACUUCUCUGGCUGUAGGAAGCAGCACAUGGCUAGACCAGGCAGGCCUGCUGCACCUGGAUCACUCCUGCAAAGGGGCAGGACAGCACCAGCUGGGCUGUACAAGCUGGGGAGAGUAUGGUCCCUGGUGAAUGAGCUUAUAGAAGACGUCUGUGAUGUCCUAGCUAAGCUCUCUUCUUGGGAUAGAGGUUUCCCUUCCCAAAUAUAUGACAGCUUCCUCUGUCACCAGGAGCCUAGGUGCUGGGGGUACACUUGCAUUGCUAUGGAGGUCCCUUUGCUGAUGGUCCUGCUUUGGGGCCCUUUUUAGCUGGCUUCCCCCCGAGACAGUCCCUUCCUUCACACUCCGAAUGUCUUCAGGUCAGUGUCCUCUAAGCGAGGAUCUGGAGGGUGAUGGGAUGGCCCAGACAUUAUAGAAGUGUCUGAUCAGGUGACAAAGGAGGAGCAGAGUCAGUUUGUGCCACGAGGAGACUCUUUAUCAUUUCUCAGUGGCCAGACACUUUGAGACACAAGCAGACAGCAGUGGCUUCUUCGGAGAGCCCCCUCAGGACCCUCAGAGAGGAGCACUCAGGCUUUCGGAGGGGUCACUGGAUCCACACAGACCCACCCAGGAAAAGGGCCAAGAGAGGCACGGGGGCAGCAGGGUGAACGCUGCCAGAAGGGAAACACGGCCGUCUCUGCGCUGGUGAAAGGGCAGGAGUGAAGUUUGCUGAGGACGUUGCCCAAGAGGGGCCAUUUGCGUGCCAUCUGAUCAACUGGGAGGGCUCUGUUGGCUGCCUGCUCCUCCAAGGUAAAGCAUGUGCAGUUCAGCCUGAUGCUUGUGACACAGCAUUGGAACAUGUGACAGAGAAAGCGCUCCAGCUGAGCACGCGCCAGUGAACAGCAGGAGGAAAAGUCCAAGGGCAAAGGGUGAGGCCCGGAGAACAAACCCCAGCAGGACUUUUGAGUCUUUCUGACUUUCUGCUGCUGGUUACAAGGGUUCAUCACCAGAUAGACCUGGUAGUUUGACGAGACUGUUCAAUACUAUGAAUCCCGAGAGCCUGCAUACCUGUCACCCCCAGCUCGGUGGGUCUGCUGGGCACCACAGUGCCUGACUCCAGGGCACGAGCAUAGGCAACCUGUGCUUGGGGUCCACCGGUCCUUUUGUCUAUGGUCACCGGAGGGCAGAGCCUGCUCAAAGCCAGAGCUUGGAUCCAGCCAGGGUAGGGGCCUAGCUGGUGGGAGGUUGGGGUUGAGAGACGGAGGCUGGGAGCCUGGGGCUCAGUCCUGUCUCACACGGCUCUAUGUGCCCAGAGAGAGUGGGUUGGUUGCUGCAGGGCAGGUGCUGAGGUGAGGGCAGGGGGCGGGGAUGAAUCGACCCCAGCCUCUUUCUUUCAGGCAACCACUACCCACGUCCCCUUUUAACUCCUACAACCCGCUCCACUCUCUCUGUGCUACUAGGUCAAAGCUUGGAACACUGCCUCCUCCAGAGGCCACUCCAGCUACCUCUCUAGUUCCUGGAGUCAAGUGUAUCUUUUCUGGGGCUACUCCAGAAAGGCCGCAUCGCCAGCCAGGCUGUGAAGGUUUCUGACGUAGAGACACGGACACCACACCACAGCCCAUUCUUUCCCCGCGCGCUGUUUCUCUCAUUUUUACAAAUUUGGUAAAACAGCCCUUAAGCCUUGGAAGGUGCCUCAAGUUGCACAGCUGGUAGUGGCCAGGGCAGAAUUUGAACCCAGGUUCUGUGAUUCCAGAGCUCAGGCACUUCAACACCAGACCGUGAUUCCUCCUCCACAGGCACACGUUUUUGAUAAUGAGGAAAAUUAUCUGCCCAGAAUGAACACAGUCACUGCCUGUAAGGAGGUCUUCUUUGGCCCAAUACAGACGUCAACCAUUGGCCACGCCGGCCUUCAGCCCCUCAGGCGCUGUAGGGCUGGGACUGCCAGGGGGUAUCGCAUCCCUACGGGGCAGUUGUCUUCCACAGGAGCCUUGCAACUGGGAGAGAGCUUCUCCCACGAGCAGACGCGCGCACCAAGGGGGUGGUGGAUCCACCCCGCUGCCUAAAAGCCUUAUGCCCCGAGGGCACCAGUAACUUUUGAAAUAAUUCCAUAGACCAGCUUUCAGGCUCUUGGCUGAAAUGAACUUAACUUUCCUAGUCCGCAAGAGUUUGGUACAACUUUCCCUGUAUUUAGGUCUUCUGAAAAAAUGUUCUCUCACAUGUUUUUAUAGCAAGGUUCCACAAAUUACAGCUUAUGGGUCAAAUUUGGCCCAGAGCCUGUUUUUGUUAUCCCAAUGAACUUAAAAUGGUGUUCCCAUUUUUUUUAAAACACUGUGAAAAAACUAAACAGAAAAACAGAAUAGGAAGACCACACAUAAACCGCAAAGCCUAAAAUGUUUCCCACCUGGUCCUUUACAGCAAAAGAUUGCCAACCCCUAUUUUGUAGUUUUGAGUACGAAUGUCUUAUACAGCAUUUGCUAAUGUAUUCUUUAGUGCUUUAUAGGAGGUUUUUAAAAAUGCUACAGGAAAUGGUUUUUUUGUUACUGUUUUUUGUGUUUUUUUGUUUUUUUGCUUUUUAGGGCCAAGCUGCUGCACAUGGACAUUCCCAGGCUAGGGGUGGAAUUAGAACUGCAGCUGCCAGCCUAUGCCACAGCCACAGAAACACAGGAUCUGAACCACAUCUGUGACCUACCUCAUAGCUCACAGCAGCACCAGAUCUUUAACCCACUGAGCGAGACCAGGGAUGGAACCCACAUCCUCAUGGAUACUAGUUGCGUUUGUUACUGCUGAGUCAUGACUAGAGCUCUGGUCUCUCUUAAAUUCUAGUUUUCAAGUGUUUGCUGGUAGCAUACAGAAUAUACAAUUGGUUCUUAAUAUAUUGAUUUUUUUCAUGCUGGAAUCUUGCUAAAUUCACUCUGUAUUUCUGGUCAUAUUUUUGUAGAUUUCUCAUAAUCUUCUAUAUAUGCAUUCAUGUUUUCUGUGAAUAAAGAGAUUUUUAUAUCUUUUAAAAUCUGUUUUCCUUUUAUCACCUUUACAUUUUCUCUGACGUCCAGUAAAAUACUGAAUACCAGUGGAGACAACAGACAUGCUUUCCAGGCUCCAGAUCUUGAGGGAAAAGUGUUCAGGAUGCUGUUUGGCUGGAGGCUUUUUGUGUAUUUGCUUCAUCACAUAAGGAAAUUCCUCCAACCUCUAUUUUGCUAAGAGAUUUCUUUUUGAAAGGGGUGUUGAAUUUUGUCAGUUAUGCUGCACACAGAUUUGAGAUAAUCGUAUGGCUUUUCACCUUUAUUCUCCUAAUAUGGUGAAUCACAUUGAUUGUUGACUGUUAAACCAACCUCGAUUCCUGCGGCCAGCCCCAUCCAAAGGAGCGAUCACGUCAGCUCACCCUCCUAGAUUUGGUCGACUUCCUAACAUGUCAUUAAAGAUUUUUAUGUCUGUGUUCCU